UGUGACCUCAAAUCAGGUAGGACUACCCGCUGAACUUAAGCAUAUCAAUAAGCGGAGGAAAAGAAACUAACAAGGAUUCCCCUAGUAACUGCGAGUGAAGCGGGAAAAGCUCAAAUUUAAAAUCUGGCAGUCUUUGGCUGUCCGAGUUGUAAUCUAGAGAAGUGUUAUCCGCGCUGGACCGUGUACAAGUCUCCUGGAAUGGAGCGUCAUAGAGGGUGAGAAUCCCGUCUUUGACACGGACUACCAGGGCUUUGUGAUGCGCUCUCAAAGAGUCGAGUUGUUUGGGAAUGCAGCUCAAAAUGGGUGGUAAAUUCCAUCUAAAGCUAAAUAUUGGCGAGAGACCGAUAGCGAACAAGUACCGUGAGGGAAAGAUGAAAAGAACUUUGGAAAGAGAGUUAAACAGUACGUGAAAUUGCUGAAAGGGAAACGCUUGAAGUCAGUCGCGUUGUCCAGGGAUCAACCUUGCUUUUGCUUGGUGCACUUUCUGGUUGACGGGUCAGCAUCAAUUUUGACCAUUGGAAAAAGAUUGAGGGAAUGUGACAUCUUUGGAUGUGUUAUAGCCCUUGGUUGCAUACGAUGGUUGGGAUUGAGGAACUCAGCACGCCGCAAGGCCGGG
rnacentral:rRNA from 1 species